GAGAUCCAUUGAGGAGAUCACGUCCAAGAGCUUCGUGGCGAACGUAGCUGACGUAAUUGUCCCCCAGAAGGAUUCCACGCCCAAAGUAAUUGAUUCCGUACACGGAGGCAAUACCCAAACUCUCGAUGCUUCUCAGCACGUUGCAUAAAGGCGAAACGAAUAUCAUUAGAACGUUAAUUGGCCAAAAUGAAACCAGCUAUAGCGAUAGAAGGUUGUUAAAACGUUGAAAAUAAUCAGCUAAAUAACUACGUUAAUUAAUUUAAUUGGCGACUGAUCGAUCGAUCGAUCGGCUGAAGAUUAAUAAAACUCCGGGAAUCGGCUUUUUUUCGAUGAGAUGACACGCAUUCUUUCCUUCCCGUUAUCUUUGUCAACCAUGUGGGUAAUAUCUUUGGUGGUAAAGAAGGGGAUUGUUAGCUCCUUGUUACGGGUGUCCCCGCUGACAGAAAUGCGUUCUAUUAUCCGACGUAUGCUCGUACAAUAGCCAAAGGCAAAAACUAUAAACCUUAGGAUCGAUCAAUGGAGAAUUUCUUAUUAGAAGAAAGUUCGGAAUCAAACGAUCUUGACAUUGUUGACAUCGCGAUACAAAAUUUUCCAAAAUUUAGAGAAGAAAUUGAAAACAUCGAUCGUGGGGAUCGAAAGAAACGAUCCGUUUUGCUUAACGAAAAUAAGUGUUCAAAUGGAAAUAACGCGUAGAUAAUAUACACGUGCGGUCACGUAGAUGAGAAAUUUCCAUUGCAUUAACAUGUCACCCUAGAUAAUUUAUGCGGGAAGCAUAACGUCCUUUAAUUAGUAUCGUUUGCCAGACAGAUUAAUAAAAUGUCAGUACUAAUAUUCUAAAAUUAAUCCUUUCGUUUAUCUUUUAUUGAUAUUUCGACGUUGACAAGACGUCGUAUAUAUUUUUCAAAUUUCAAGACUCGACGAGUGCUCUUUUAUUUCAAAUCAUUGUUAACACAAUCAAGAAUUAAAUUAUAACGAAAUUAUCGAAAUUAUAAUAAUGAUACUUGGACUCUUGGCCUUUAUCGAUAACGGAUAUUAUACGUAAAGGAUGACAUAUAAAAUUGAAGUUCUCUCACCAGUUUUCAGUUCGUCAGAAUAUGGAGUACGUAAUUUUUGCAUAUAUUUCCGAUCAGAGACGUAUUAAUAUUCAACGUGUUUUCAAUCUAGCUUUGGACUGUAAUUUGAAGUGUUCGACUAAUCUCCCUUUUGCGUUUCGAUAAUUUUAAUUAAUAAAUUUGACAACGCGAAGAAAGUGAAAAUAUUAAAUUUCCAAUAAGUCAAGUUCACACUUAUUACACGUAUUUCGACGAGAUGUAACGAUAAUCGGUCUCGGUCUUGGAAAAACCGGAUCCUUGCCACGUAUUUUUAUAAUCGAUCGAUAUGCCAAGACAAAUACGACGACGACGGUGCUAUUAUAAAAGCAUACACCAUUUUACCAUACCAUAUGUAUCUUCUUUGCCGCGCCUUUUGGCUCUCCCUUUCUAAUUAGAUGAUCGAGUACCGCCAUUGGACCAUUAUACACGUUGCAUCCGCACGUGUAUUAAAAUAAUUUUAAUAUCCUAAUCUUCUGUGCGAUAUAACGCGAGUGAAAUUAAUUAAUAUUAACAAGUGAAAAUUUGUCGAUCAUUUUUGAUUGAUUUUUCUUUUUUCGAUUUCAUAUAUCAUAUAUCAUUUGAUGUGCGAUCGAUUUUUCAAAAUGAUAUUCCCUCCGAACGAUAUUAUUAAAAUUCGCUCAACAAUAUUUUUACCGAUAAAUAUCAGUUAUUACAUAUAAAUUAUAAUAUAUAUGGAAAUGAACGUUGAGCUGAAAUACCGGAUUUAUCGGGGAGAAGAAGAAAAAGUUUCUAUAUUAUCGAGCGACGAGGAGAGAUACGCGGAAGAAAAGAAUCGUCCACUUCGAGGUUGAAUGGAAAUUCAACAAGUGUCGGAACGAAGGCUUGAAGGAAUAGAGGAUUCUGUCGUAACUUUCCAUCCAAUCCUCAACGAAAGGUGAAAAUAUUAGAAUUAGCCAAAUUUUAAUUCGAUACAUUUUAUCGCCCUAUUCGACGUAAUUUCUUUCUUUCCGCCUUUACUUUGAUACGUGUCACGAGUAUAAUUAAUUCCAAGAUUAAUUUCCAUUUCAAAUUUCAAAAAAGUUCAAUCCGAGUAAUCGUCGUAAAAGGUGUUCGCAGAGGCAAGGAUGAAGAAAAUCGUGUUACUUGACCAAUAACGUGAAAAAAAGAAGAAAAAGAAAAAAAGAAAGAAAGUUACAGUGAUGAAGAGGGAAAGUCGUGAUGCAUAUAAGGGGAAGUUCUGACGUCAUUCAUCGUGCGAUACACGUGGAUUCUGUCUGGAGUAAAGAAGAGAGCCGCCGAGUAUUUAUUAAUCGAUUCGUUACCUGAAAUCCUCGAGGCGUGCUUGAAAAGCCUCUUUGCUGACCACGUCAUAGGCUUGCGUCUUGCUCUCAUCCCUCGGCACCGAGACCAGGGGCCACGUAGUCAUGUUAUGAAGAGCUUGAUCAGUUAUGGCGAACCUCUGCGUCAAGUUUGACCUUGAACAAAUGCAAGAGACCAUGGCGUAUUAGCGUUACGUCGAUAAAUUGGCGGAGAAGAGUUUCCCCCCCCUGCUACUGUGGAAGAAUCGAAGCGGAAGGGUCAGAUUUUAAUUAUGGAGGGCGUGGCAGAGCAGCAACGUGAACGGGUAUAAAACUCUCGACACGCUUAGCAGAAGGACGCGACGGCAAACACUGAUGAAGAUAGGGACGAGGACAAGCAAGGAGGAGAAUACGUCCAUUCUUUUCCACCUUUCCUCGUGCCGUGCCACCGUGCUCGUCAAACAAGUAACUCGAGAUCGAACAGUGCACUCGAGAUUACACCCUCGUUUCGAUCAAUUUCGAUCUAUCACCUCCACCUCCUUCUCCUCCUUAUCAACCCUUCUGAACGCACGCUACAAUAUAAUAAUCAUCCACAAAUGGCGAGCGACACUAUUUCAUUCCGAUAUGGAAAUUUUCUUGGACUUAAGUAAGCUAAGAGUGGUAUCAAAGCACUUGUUGUUCCUCGUUGUCCGUCCAUUUCCCUUCAGUUAUAUGCGCAGUGAUUGACUCGUUCUCCAAUUGUUCGAGACAAAAUCUUAGAUUCGAGCGAAGGCGGAGAUUGGAAACUCGAAAUACCGGAAACGUUUGAAAACGAUUUGAUACGUCGUACGUCGCGAGUAUGAAUUUAGAGAGAGAAUUCCAUUCUAUUUUCGAGGAUCGAUCGCUUUACUGGUAACAAUAUGAUACCGUAUGAAGAACCAUUGUGAAGAACUUGGACGCAACAUGAAACAAUAUCGAUGUAUCUUUGUUGAUGACCAAUGCAUUGUGUUGUGAUAGAAUGAGUUAUUGCUUAGUUAUUUACAUCACAAUGGAAAAUAUCAUUUCUAAUCAUAUUUAAUCGGUAAAUCGAUGCUGUCAAAUUUAUCAACGUUGUAAUAUUACAUAAAUAUAUGUAUAUAGAUUUAUCAUAAAUUCAAGUAUAGAGUAUCAGAAUUUUAUAAUCAAUCGUUUAAUUUGUUAUUCUUAAAUUCGUACGAGCGCGUUAAAGUCGAAUUAAGUUUCAUUAAAAUUUAGCAUGCCCGAUAUUAAGAGAAGCGACUGUACAUUAAAGAAGGCAUUGAACUGGAAAAUGAAGAAAUCGAGGUCAACCAUAAAAUAUACCGAUUUAGUAAUCAUCGUGUGCUUCGCAAUAGCAAAUCUUUUUUUUUUUUUUCAUUUAAAAAGAGCGAUAAAUAAAAAUGUCGGAAAAAAGUAAUAAAAAUGUAUUGAAUUACACAGUUUUA